rnacentral:lncRNA from 1 species
CAGAGGUAUUUCUUAGUAGAUAAGAACAUUAUUUACACCCAGCCUUAGAAAGGAAAGAAGAGGUUGUCAGUGAGCUACAACCUUUAUUGUACCUGUUAUCGUUUGCAUGGCAAAGGCGCUUCACCGUGCUCAGACCCCAUCCUGAAGGGCCAAGGAUGUUGUGGGGCCUGCACUGCCUGCCUUAGCUCUGAGCUCUGAAAGGGCUGGAGAUGUGCACCAGAGCUGGGGGAGGGAGGGCCAGAAGGACAAAGUACAGCACUGCUUUCUCACCAUCUCCUCAUGAACUGAGCAGCCAUCUGAUUCUGCCUGGCUCAUGCAUCUUGAAUUCCUGCAAACUUGUGAGGAGUUUUCCGAGCAUUGAAAAAAUCAAACCAAACCAAACCAAACCACCAAGAAAAGGAGACAGUAAUGAAGAGUAAGCUGAUUUUUUGUCCUGAUGUUCUCCGCCAGUCUUGGCUUCAGGACUCAAAACUAGGAAGAUACUGACCUCCACAUGGGAAGUUUUCAGAAAUCCUUGGGGAUCUCAGCUAUGUCAAGUCCCUGAGAGUAAGA